rnacentral:lncRNA from 1 species
CACAGGACUGAGUCUAUUUCACGUUAGGGCAACUCAAUUUGUUGUAGUCGAAGCAGCAAUAGCCUGAAGUGCGAGAGGCUCAGACCGAAGUAUUUCAGAAAAAGCAAGAGAGAAAGAAAGAAGAAGAAAAAAAAGAACAGCGCCAACAUCAGAAGUUCACUCACUCACUGUGCACGUCGAUCAUCAUCAUCAUCAUCAUCACCACCGCCUCCCAUCACCCGUGAGGCCUUACCAUCCAUCAAAGCGUCUUCCAGCUUUUCAUCUCGCCCAGACUAUCUAUACCUGUAAUUAGGUUUGGGUGAGGGAGAAGAUGGAUUUGGUUUGCAGCACCAUGCAGAGAAAAACAAGACAUCAGGAAGUCCUUACCGCUGUUCUGGGACCAGCCCUUAAUGGAUGUCUAAUUGACCUGGUCUGUCAUGUGGCCAUGGCUUCAUGUGGUCGGGGGGGCAAUUAUCUGUAUGUGUCAUCCUGAGAGGAUUAGCAUUAGUAGUGCUUGUUUCUGUCUGUCUGUCUGUCUGUCUGUCUGUCUGUCUGUCUGUCUGUCUGUCUGUCUGUCU